CGGCUUCCUCAUCUCUAUGGUUUUCGUGGCUCGCUAGAGGGCGUGUGGUCCACUGGAGGACUCCCUACAUUCUUCCUCCAUUACCUCACUGCCUCCGGUGGCUGCUGGGAUACUGGAGGACUCGGGUCCCAGCUCGACUCAGUCCUCCAGCCACCCGGGGAAUACCUCUAGUUCUUCCCGGCCACUGCCGCCGCCCCGGCGCUUCCUCUUUCGCCCGCCAGGCUCCUUUGCCCCGCCCCGUCCGCGCCGCGCGUCUGGCCCACCCGCGGGCCCGCUUCUCUUGGUAGCCCUCACCCAGGCGCAUGGCUCCAUGAAGCAGGAGGAGGAGGCAGAGCGCGAGAGGUCCCGUCCGCCCAAGCCGCGUCUGGGCCAGGAGAAAAGGUACAGGAAGAAGGAAUGGAAUUGGAAGGAAGAAGAUUUAUUCCAGAGACAAAAUAGCUCCCCUCUGUUGUAGCUAUUCCUCUGGCAAUACAAACUUUCUACUUUCAGGUUCUGCAGCAUUCCAGACCUCGAGCACCGUAUCAGGAUGGGAAAAAGACGUUGUGUUCCUCCACUGGAGCCCAAGUUGGCAGCAGGCUGUUGUGGAGUCAAGAAGCCCAAACUUUCUGGAAGUGGAACGCAUAGUCACGGGAACCAGUCCACAACUGUCCCCGGCUCCAGUUCAGGACCUCUUCAAAACCACCAGCAUGUGGACAGCAGCACUGGACGAGAGAAUGUGUCAGACUUAACUCUAGGACCUGGAAACUCUCCCAUCACACGAAUGAAUCCCGCGUCGGGAGCGCUGAGCCCUCUCCCCCGGCCCAAUGGAACUGCCAACACCACUAAGAAUCUGGUGGUAACUGCAGAGAUGUGCUGCUACUGCUUUGAUGUACUCUACUGUCACCUCUAUGGCUUCCCACAGCCACGACUUCCUAGAUUCACCAAUGACCCCUAUCCACUCUUUGUGACAUGGAAGACAGGGCGGGACAAGCGGCUUCGUGGCUGCAUUGGAACCUUCUCAGCCAUGAAUCUUCAUUCAGGACUCAGGGAAUACACGUUAACCAGUGCACUUAAGGACAGCCGAUUUCCCCCCCUGACCCGAGAGGAGCUGCCUAAACUUUUCUGCUCUGUCUCCCUCCUUACUAACUUUGAGGAUGCCAGUGAUUACCUGGACUGGGAGGUAGGGGUCCAUGGGAUUCGAAUUGAAUUCAUCAAUGAAAAAGGUGUCAAACGUACAGCCACAUAUUUACCUGAGGUUGCUAAGGAACAAGAUAAUUAUACUGGGGUAACAUCUGACAGGAAGCACGCAGGAGCAGGGAGCCUGGGGACAGCCAAUGUGGCAUGUGUCGGGCUAUCAUCUCAUGUCUGAGUCUCCACUGGACUGUCAGUGAGGCAGACGGGGCACCAGACUGGGAUCAGAUCCAGACAAUAGACUCCUUGCUCAGGAAAGGUGGCUUUAAGGCUCCAAUUACCAGUGAAUUCAGAAAAACGAUCAAACUCACCAGGUACCGAAGUGAGAAGGUGACAAUCAGCUAUGCAGAGUAUAUUGCAUCUCGACAACACUGUUUCCAGAAUGGCACUCUUCAUGCCCCGCCCCUCUACAAUCAUUACUCCUGACACACGGCUGCAUGACCAGUCCCACCCCCCUGUGGCCACCAAUGGCUAUGACAUCAUUGGAGCAGAUGCCUCCUCUUCCUGGUCCAGUUACUUCUACUACUGCACCAUUUUAUGAUGCUAGCUUCCGUUGCCAAGUCUGCCUCCUGCUGACUGAGGGGGGGGGGGGCCGGUAACCUUGAAUGAAACAGAACUUGAGGGGCCCAAGCCUUAUCUCAGCCUUUCCUCAAUAUGGGGUUCUGUUGGAUUGGGGCUCCUCCAUGACUAGUGAGAAUUACUGUGUGGGUUCAGAAGCCUCUUGUCUGGUGAUUAGCUGUGUGUGUGUUGGCCACACACUGGAAGCCGGAAUUGAUGAUCCAUGAAGGCUUAACCCCCACACACAUAUACCUUCAGCCUCCCCAGAUCAAGUAGGUAUAUUCCCCUGGCAGUCUGGGCAACGGAGACCAACAAGAAACAUUUUUAGGUUGUUUUAAAUUCCUUUUUUUAAACUUCCAGUUUAUUGCGCACCAAGAGUUGAUCACAACCUCCAUGCUUCAUAAGUGGACGCCUCAUUAGGGUUGGACGUGGGCACCAUGAGUCCUUCAAGGCUUCUGGACAGAGACCCACAUCAAGAUCAGAAGCCCUUCGAGUGGCGUUGGAGAUAGCAUUGCUCAAUAAGCCUUGAAGGUUUUAAUUUUCAUCCCACUCUCAGUUGGAUUUUCUGGCACUCUUCCUGCAUUGAGUCUCCCGGUAUUGAACAGAACUGUGUGGUGUAGCCUGCUGAGGAAUGGAAUGGAGAUGCCCCUGGGAGGUCCUAAUGUCAUCACUGCGGUCAGGUGUGAAAGGAGAGACCUCUUCAUCAUCACCCGGCUACCUCACUCCUCUACUGGUAGCAGUGCCUAUAGCCGGAGCUAGGUUCUCAGAAGCAUGGAUGUGCACACAAGUGGUUGGGUUAGGCUUUAGGGGGACAUGUCAUAGGAGAGAAUCCAGGGUCUCCAAGCUGGUUUCUUUCUGGGCAAAUGUCCUGAGGGACCUUUAAGCAGGAGAGUUUCUUUUUCUAGUUUGCCUAUAGAGAUGGGAAGACUCGAGAUGUUUCAGUCCUUUAUAGGACUUUAGAACAAAGCUGUGUAACUACACAAGGUGAAUCUUUAUCUUGCCUAACAUGCUGGGAAUCUUCACCCCACCAGGGCAAAUUUCCAAAUAGCUCAUUUUAUUCUAGGUCUUUUGAACUUUCAUGUGACAUAUUUCCCUGUCCCAUUGUUGCUGAUUUCCAAAUACCUGUCAGCAAGUUUGUCCUCCCUUUUGCCUAUUCUUCACUCAUACAGUGGCAAAGUUAAUAGAACUUAGGGGACUUGGAAGAUGCUUUGAAAACACUGUCACAAAGACAGUAACUAAAAAACGAGUCACAGGAAGAGUGGCCAGUUGGAAGAAAGGAUCCUAAGGACGAUGUUACACUGGUUUUCAACAACAUGCUUAGAGAACUCAUGAAGUAGAUUGGGUGUCAACCCAGUGAACACAAAGUUUAAUUUAUUUUUAAAAGUUUUUGUGGUGAUGGUGUGGCUUUCUCAAAUGGGCAAAUAUUCCAGUCAAAAAUCUUUUUGAGUUUUUAUCUGCCAGGAAUGGGGAAUUGGGGACUCAGGGCACAAUCUGAGAAAGGACAUGUGUGCUAUUCCAGGCAUUGCCGGCAAGUUUCUGGGAAGGAAUGGGUGAGGGUGAGUGAGUUUGCUCAGCACCAUCCUGUGCUGCUCACAAGAACCUGGCUUGUGCAAGGGAAACUUGGGUGACAUCAGGGUGCCCAGUCGGCAGCCCCUCACUGCUAUGAUGGGUUCCUGUAGCCUGCCCUGUUUUCCUUGGUUAUGGAGGUGAAGAUGAAGGGGUUAUUUCAUGAUGUCCUGCUGCUUAGAAUAUUAAAUGUCUUGUUACAAAUACAGGUGACAGCAGUUACUCUUAGGUGCGUGGAUCAAUGUUAGGGUGGUCAGCUCUGGACUAAUCCACCCACCUCCAAUUUGUACAACAGUAUUGGUACAUAGGGCUACACUCAUUACUGUUCAAGUGUUCUAUGUUAAAAGUUGUGUUUAAUUUCUAAAGAUUAAAAAAAGCAAAAAAAUUGGUGCUAAACUUUCACCCCUGAGCACGCUCAGUGAGACUGGUCAUGCAAGCAUUUACAGUGCCAUGCUCCUCAAGCCUAUUUUUUCUUGUAGAAAUUUUGCCCUAUUUGUCUUCCCCAAUGUAUAGUAUGUUUUUUAUUUUAUUGUAUUGAGGGUGGGGUAGAAUACCUGCCAUUUAAGAAAAUGAAUAGAAAAUUUAAAAACCCAGGAAUGGGAAAAAAAAAUCAGUGCACAAGAAUCGGGCUGGUUAUGCCCAGCACCACACUGAUGUGGGCUCAGUGGUUUUGGAGUGAAGAAGCCUUACUCCCUGCACAUUCCCUCAUGCUCCCACACAAGUCCAGCAAUGGAAAUGCUUGAGUUCCUUUGCUUUGUCAGGGGGACUCAGGAGUUGACCAAGGGAAACUGUCCCCAUAAGGAAUGGGCACUGUCAGUAUCCAUCCUAAAUGGGGCCUAGUCAGAAAGCAGUCGAAGUGUAUGGUCAUGGUCACCUCAUGAAUAUGUAUGGCAGGUGGCUCUCAGGAAAAAUACCAAGUCUGGAUCAUCCAUGUGGCAGCUUUGCAUAGGGAGAUAACAGCUCCGAACUGGAACUGAACUGCCUUCCACAUGCUUGACCAAAGCAGUGAUGAGGGUGGCCAGUACAUGUGGUAUGAGUGGUAGGUUUAAAGAGAAGGGAAUGUUUUCUGCUGAUUGUUUCCUUUGUCCUUGGGCUGCUCGAGCUGGACAGUAGGUAACCACUGUUCUCAAGGAACCAGCCCAACUUCGCUGGCUUGGUUCGGAGUUCGUUUCGUCCCUAGCUGUGAGUGCCUUUUGGUCUGGAAAGUUGGCUUGUCUCAUAAUACCCACAGCUAGGACAUUCUCUCUCUGUAAUUAAGAAUCGUCCUUGUUUCACAUUAAAAGAGAAUGUCUUUGAUCACUAGAGUUUGUCAGUGUUGGAUUGUUUCCACUGUGAGAUUCUUAAAACUUUCGCUUCAUAAUAUUAAAACAACUCAUGUUAGAGACCCUUCCAACAUGAAAGGUUUGUAGUUAAGACAUUACAUAUAUUUUAUUGUUUAUAAUAAAAAUCAUCUAUACAAAAGAAGUACUGAGUGUUAAUUUUAAUAUUUUGCACAAGAUUUGUUUUCCAUGAUGUGUUAACAUCUACAAUUUCACUAACUGUUGAUGUUAUUUUCUAUUGAGAUUCUGGAGCUUAGGGAACUAUGUGUUCUUUUUGUUUAUUUUUGUUCUUAUUUCCCUGAAGCAAGAGACUAUAUGGCCUUCAGAGCAAAGACUUCAGACCAAUUCUUUGUAUUACACUUGGUUGCCUCUUGGCUAUAUAACUUCUGAGUGCAAAUCAUUGAACUCUUUAAUGAAGUAUUGUAGAGAAUAAAUCAUAACGGAUA